UGAGGCGGAAGUCAGAAGAGGCUACUUCCGGCCACGCCCACAAGCUGCCCCCCACCCCCACCCCCAGGACAACAGCAGAAGCAGAACUCUAGCAGUUCUCUGUUUGGGGGACAGAAGGUGCUGGGCUACCUCCUCUCUGCUAACUUGAGGGCAACCCAUCAGCAGUGAAAAGGAAUGAAAUUCAGAUAACACAUCACAACACGGAUGAAUUCCACAACCGUAAUAUUGAGGGAAACAAACCAGAAACAAAGGAAUGCACAUGUAAAGGUACUACUCUUGGCUGGGUGAGCACAUGGAGACCUUAGUUAGCCACAUAAUGAGAAAAAGAGGCACCUCAGAGUUGACACUUAAGCAAGAGCAAAUCUUCCCCCUGACCCCAUGAGCAUGCACACCAUUAUUAACAAGGAAACUAGCUUAUUUUUUGCACCAAAGAUUGAUGGGGAAGAUGCAAUGAGGGCAGUGAGGCAAAAUAUAUGGAGAAUCACUAAGGGAUUUUUGCUGUAGAUGAACCAAAGGAUGCUGAGCUCCUGAACCUAAGCUGUAGUGCUAGAUAUAAAGAGAAGAGAAUGGAUUCAAGAAAUAGCUAAGAGAAAAAUAA